AAACUAAAAAGAAAAGAAAGAAAAGAAACAGAAUAGGCAAACGUGAAGCAGGGGAAGGAAAGGAAGAAAGAAACGAAAGAAAGAAAAGGAAAAAUUCAAGCUAACGUUGUCUCGGGAAAUUUCGGCUAAGCAAGGAAAAAUGGCAAAGACAACGAGAGUUAGCUCGAGAAAAUACGGUUAAGGCUAGACCAUUGAAUCAGCAUCCCAGGUCGAUCCUGAAUUCAAUGAGGUAAAGUAUGUUGAGUAUUGGUAAUAGCAUGUACCUAGGAUGUCUUAUGAGAGUCAUUUAGGUUGUGAAAGUAUUGAUAAAACAAGUAAAUUAUGGUUGGCAAUGGUAUAUAAUAUGAAUUUGAAAUUUGAAAGAAAAA